rnacentral:rRNA from 1 species
AUUGAACGCUGGCGGCAGGCCUAACACAUGCAAGUCGAACGAGUGGCGGACGGGUGAGUAAUGUCUGGGAAACUGCCCGAUGGAGGGGGAUAACUACUGGAAACGGUAGCUAAUACCGCAUACCAUCGGAUGUGCCCAGAUGGGAUUAGCUAGUAGGUGGGGUAACGGCUCACCUAGGCGACGAUCCCUAGCUGGUCUGAGAGGAUGACCAGCCACACUGGAACUGGGAAACUGUUCAGACUCCUAUGGGAGGCAGCAGUGGGGAAUAUUGCACAAUGGGCGCAAGCUUGAUGCAGCCAUGCCGGGUGUAUGAAGAAGGCCUUCGAGUUGUAAAGUACUUUCAGCGCGGAGGCUUUACUCGCAUAAGAAGCACCGUGUAACUCCGUGCCAGCAGCCGCGGUAAUUC